rnacentral:misc_RNA from 1 species
GAUGAAGAACGUAGCGAAAUGCGAUAAGUAAUGUGAAUUGCAGAAUUCAGUGAAUCAUCGAAUCUUUGAACGCACAUUGCGCCCCUUGGUAUUCCGAGGGGCAUGCCUGUUCGAGCGUCAUUAUAACCCCUCAAGCUCAGCUUGGUGUUGGGGCCUGCUGCACUGGCAGCCCUUAAAAUCAGUGGCGGCGCCAUCUGGCUCUAAGCGUAGUAAUUCUUCUCGCUAUGGAGUCCUGGUGGAUGCUUGCCAUCAACCCCCAAUUUUUCUAGGGUUGACCUCGGAUCAGGUAGGGAUACCCGCUGAACUUAAGCAUAUCAAUAAGCGGAGGA